rnacentral:tRNA from 1 species
GGCUCGGUGGUGUAGCGGUCUAACACCGUGAUACUCCUGAUAGGCCAAAGACGCAGGUUCGAGUCCCGCCUGAGCUG